rnacentral:rRNA from 1 species
UGGGGAAUAUUGCACAAUGGGCGAAAGCCUGAUGCAGCGACGCCGCGUGCGGGAUGAAGGCCUUCGGGUUGUAAACCGCUUUUGAUUGGGAGCAAGCGAGGGUGAGUGUACCUUUCGAAUAAGCACCGGCUAACUACGUGCCAGCAGCCGCGGUAAUACGUAGGGUGCAAGCGUUAUCCGGAAUUAUUGGGCGUAAAGAGCUCGUAGGCGGUUUGUCGCGUCUGGUGUGAAAGUCCAUCGCUUAACGGUGGAUCUGCGCCGGGUACGGGCAGGCUAGAGUGCGACAGGGGAGACUGGAAUUCCCGGUGUAACGGUGGAAUGUGUAGAUAUCGGGAAGAACACCAAUGGCGAAGGCAGGUCUCUGGGUCGUCACUGACGCUGAGGAGCGAAAGCGUGGGGAGCGAACAGGAUUAGAUACCCUGGUAGUCCACGCCGUAAACGGUGGAUGCUGGAUGUGGGGCCCAUUCCACGGGUUCCGUGUCGGAGCUAACGCGUUAAGCAUCCCGCCUGGGGAGUACGGCCGCAAGGCUAAAAC